rnacentral:rRNA from 1 species
GGGGUGACGUUUGAUUAGGAGUGAAAGGCUAAUCAAGCUCGGUUAUAGCUUGAACUCCGCGAAAGUUAUUUCAGUAACGCCACCAUUUAUAAAAAUGAGGUAAAGCACUGAUUUCG